GACGAACGCUGGCGGCGCGCCUAACACAUGCAAGUCGAGCGAGAACCGGGGCUUCGGCCCCGGGGACAGCGGCGAACGGGUGAGUAACACGUGGAUAACCUGCCCUCGGCACCGGAAUAGCCCGGGGAAACCCGGAUUAAUGCCGGAUGGCCCCACAUCCCUGCGGGGAACGUGGGAAAAGGUAGCUUCGGCCUCUGGCCGAGGAUGGGUCCGCGGUGGAUUAGCUUGUUGGUGGGGUAACGGCUCACCAAGGCGACGAUCCAUAGCUGGUCUGAGAGGACGAUCAGCCACACUGGGACUGAGACACGGCCCAGACUCCUACGGGAGGCAGCAGUGGGGAAUCUUGCGCAAUGGGCGAAAGCCUGACGCAGCGACGCCGCGUGCGGGAAGAAGGCCUUCGGGUUGUAAACCGCUUUCAGGAGGGACGAAGCCACUCGGGUGAACAGCCCAGAGGGUGACGGUACCUCCAGAAGAAGCCCCGGCUAACUACGUGCCAGCCGCCGCCGUAAGAC
rnacentral:rRNA from 1 species